rnacentral:tRNA from 1 species
CGGGAUUUAGCGCAGUUGGUAGCGCACUACGUUCGGGACGUAGGGGUCGCUGGUUCGAGUCCAGUAAUCCCGACAA